CAAUACUGUGCUGACGACCGGCGCACGGGUGCGUAACGCGUAUACAACCUACCUCGAACAGGGGGAUAAGCGGAGAAAUUCUGUACUAAUACCCAUAGAGUCUAGAGGGCACAUGUUUUUUAGACUAAAGCCUUGGUGGUUGGAGAUGGGCAUGCGUGACAUUAGGUAGUUGGCGGGCAACGGCCACCAAGCCGACGAUGUCUAGGGGAGCUGAGAGGCUAGACCCCCACACUGGUACUGAGACACGGACCAGACUCCUACGGGAGGCAGCAGUGAGGAAUAUUGGUCAAUGGAGGGAACUCUGAACCAGCCAUGCCGCGUGAGGGAAGACGGUACCCUAUGGGUUGUAAACCUCUUUUGCACGGGAGCAAUAAGUGUCCUGCGGGGCAUGAUGAGAGUACCGUGCGAAUAAGCAUCGGCUAACUCCGUGCCAGCCGCAGC
rnacentral:rRNA from 1 species